UACGUAGGGUGCGAGCGUUGUCCGGAAUUACUGGGCGUAAAGAGCUCGUAGGUGGUUUGUCGCGUUGUUCGUGAAAACUCACAACUCAAUUGUGGGCGUGCGGGCGAUACUGGCAGACUGGAGUACUGCAGGGGAGACUGGAAUUCCUGGUGUAGCGGUGGAAUGCGCAGAUAUCAGGAGGAACACCGGUGGCGAAGGCGGGUCUCUGGGCAGUAACUGACGCUGAGGAGCGAAAGCGUGGGGAGCGAACAGG
rnacentral:rRNA from 1 species